rnacentral:rRNA from 1 species
UGAGCAAUCUGCCCUUCUCAUCGGAAUAAGCGUUGGAAACGACGUCUAAUGCCGAAUACGACCUCCUUUCGCAUGAUCGGAGGUGGAAAGCUCCGGCGGAGAAGGAUGAGCUCGCGGCCUAUCAGCUAGUUGGUGUGGGUAAUGGCCCACCAAGGUGACGACGGGUAGCCGGCCUGAGAGGGUGUCCGGCCACACUGGGACUGAGAUACGGCCCAGACUCCUACGGGAGCA